rnacentral:tRNA from 1 species
CAGGAUGUAGCGAAAGAGGUUAUCGCCUCGGUUUGGAACUGAGAAUAUGAGGGUUCGAGUCCUUCCAUCCUGA